UUUUAUUCUGUACCAGCAGUACCAGCUGGAGUGUCGCAGGGUGAGGAUGUGCUCUCUCUCUGUCUCGUAGAUAAUUGUUCCCAGUGUCCUUGUGGUCGGCCAUAGCUGCAGAUAAUGAUUUAUAAUGCGUAUAUGUAAGAUGCCCUGCAUUAUUCCUGGUGUUUCCCUAGUUCUCACCCAGUGUCCUAUCCAUAACCCCAUGAAAUUUGUGGCAGCAGUCCCAAGAGCCAAUCAACGUGUGUAGUACCCUUAUCAAGAUUUCUUGUGUACAUCUAAUGUCCAAGCAUGACCUGUUCUGCAUUCAGUGUCUGCCUAUCUGUGUAAUUGUUGCAUAGAUCUCUCCACAAGCAAAGAUAAGUCUGGAGAAGUGCGGUUUAUGGGUGGGUUUGGAGAAGUGAUGUACGCGCACAGUUGUGGCACUACAGUCGGCAGCAGGCAACCAAAGCCAGCAGAAUUCCAAUACCACCUCCACUCAGGAUAUGCAAAUAAUCUGCACAUAGAAGAGGGGAGCUUAAGACGACGUUUUGGUCCGACUUGGACCAUUUACAAAGUCACGCUAAAAGGAGAGGGAGUGUACAUAGGCCAGCAAACAUUGACGGGAGCAAGAGAGUGAAACAAUUUCCUU